AACGAACGCUGGCGACAUGCCUAACACAUGCAAGUCGAACGAGACCUUCGGGUCUAGUGGCGCACGGGUGCGUAACGCGUGGGAACCUGCCUUUAGGUUCGGAAUAACUCAGAGAAAUUUGAGCUAAUACCGGAUAAUGUCUUCGGACCAAAGAUUUAUCGCCUUUAGAUGGGCCCGCGUUGGAUUAGCUAGUUGGUGGGGUAAAGCCUACCAAGGCGACGAUCCAUAGCUGGUCUGAGAGGAUGAUCAGCCACACUGGGACUGAGACACGGCCCAGACUCCUACGGGAGGCAGCAGUGGGGAAUAUUGGACAAUGGGCGAAAGCCUGAUCCAGCAAUGCCGCGUGAGUGAUGAAG
rnacentral:rRNA from 1 species